GAUGAAGAACGCAGCGAAAUGCGAUAAGUAAUGUGAAUUGCAGAAUUCAGUGAAUCAUCGAAUCUUUGAACGCACAUUGCGCCCGCCAGCAUUCUGGCGGGCAUGCCUGUCCGAGCGUCAUUUCAACCAUCGAGCCCCGGGCUUGUGUUGGGGACCUGCGGCUGCCCGCAGGCCCCGAAAUCCAGUGGCGGGCUCGCUGGCACACCGAGCGUAGUAGCAUACACCUCGCUCAGGGCGUGCCGCGGGCUCCGGCCGUUAAACCACCUUUUAACCCAAGGUUGACCUCGGAUCAGGUAGGAAGACCCGCUGAACUUAAGCAUAUCAAUAAGCGGAGGA
rnacentral:misc_RNA from 1 species